CCUACGGGAGGCAGCAGUGAGGAAUAUUGGUCAAUGGACGAGAGUCUGAACCAGCCAAGUAGCGUGAAGGAUGACUGCCCUAUGGGUUGUAAACUUCUUUUAUAUGGGAAUAAAAUGUUCCACGUGUGGGAUUUUGUAUGUACCAUAUGAAUAAGGAUCGGCUAACUCCGUGCCAGCAGCCGCGGUAAUACGGAGGAUCCGAGCGUUAUCCGGAUUUAUUGGGGUUAAAGGGAGCGUAGGUGGAUUGGUAAGUCAGUUGUGAAAGUUUGCGGCUCAACCGUAAAAUUGCAGUUGAAACUGGCAGUCGUGAGUACAGUAGAGGUGGGCGGAAUUCGUGGUGUAGCGGUGAAAUGCUUAGAUAUCACGAAGAACUCCGAUUGCGAAGGCAGCUCACUGGACUGCAACUGACACUGAGGCUCGAAAGUGUGGGUAUCAAACAGGAUUAGAUACCCCAGUAGUC
rnacentral:rRNA from 1 species